rnacentral:rRNA from 1 species
UGAGUAGCUGCGAGCGAAACGGGAAGAGCUCAGCACGUAGGGGCGAUGCACUUGCGUAUCUGCCCGGUUCCGUGUACUGGGAAGUUCGUUAUCUGCCGUAACCGGUCGCUAGUUCAAGUUCAACUAGAAUGUGGCUUUUACUCCCAGAGAGGGUGAUAGGCCCGUAGAACGGCGUACCGAUGGUAGAAGAUCUUCCCAUGGAGUCGUGUUGCUUGAUAGUGCAGCACAAAGUGGGAGGUAAACUCCUUCUAAAGCUAAAUAUCACCACGAGACCGAUAGCGAACAAGUACCGUGAGGGAAAGUUGAAAAGCACUCUGAAUAGAGAGUCAAAAAGUACGUGAAACUGCCUAGGGCUCAAGCCCGUUGAACUCGAUUAUCCGAGCGGAGACAUUCACCUGCGGUUGGUCGGCGACGGCAGACCGCAGGGCACUUGUCUCCCGCGUCAAGAGGACACUGCGAUCCAUUACGAAACAGCUUUGGCGUCGCAAGACGCAAGGUCACCCGACAGUUGCCCCCUGGUGCUGGUUGGUUGUCCCACAGUAGCGACGCUCAGUUCUGAAGGCCUGUGCCGCGAGGUGGGGCUUACUGCACGUGGUGUUUGCAGUCGGGUGCGUGAUGGAUUUGUGCGUACACCGGCGGUCUUCCCGCAAGGGGCCGCCGGACUGUCGAUCGGCAGUGAAAGAAUCGAGGUACCUUCGG